GCGAGCGAAGCGGGAAGAGCUCAAAUUUGUAAUCUGGCGCUUUCGGCGUCCGAGUUGUAAUCUCUAGAAGUGUUUUCCGCGUUGGACCGCACACAAGUCUGUUGGAAUACAGCGGCACAGUGGUGAGACCCCCGUUCACGGUGCGGAUGCCCAAUGCUUUGUGAUACACUUUCGAAGAGUCGAGUUGUUUGGGAAUGCAGCUCAAAUUGGGUGGUAAAUUCCAUCUAAAGCUAAAUAUUGGCGAGAGACCGAUAGCGAACAAGUACCGUGAGGGAAAGAUGAAAAGCACUUUGGAAAGAGAGUUAACAGUACGUGAAAUUGUUGGAAGGGAAACGCUUGAAGUCAGACUUGCUAUUCGGGCAACCGAGUUGCAGGCCAGCAUCAGUUUUUCGGGGCGGAAAAUCACGGUUAGAAGGUAGCAGUUUCGGCUGUGUUAUAGCUUUCCGUUGGAUACGUCCUGGGGGACUGAGGAACGCAGCGUGCUUUUUGCAGGAGCUUCGGCUUCAUCACGCUUAGGAUGCUGGUGUAAUGGCUUUAAACGACCC
rnacentral:rRNA from 1 species